rnacentral:misc_RNA from 1 species
UCCCGGUUGGCCCGGGCAGUCUCGCAUGAAAAAUACAACAUACGAUAAGGGUUGCGCUCGUUGCGGGACUUAACCCAACAUUUCACAACACGAGCUGACGACGGCCAUGCAGCACCUGUCAUUAGGCUCCCGAAGGCACCCUCUUAUCUCUAAAAGGUUCCUAAGAUGUCAAGCCUCGGUAAGGUUCUACGCGUAGCGUCAUAUUAAACCACAUCCUCCUCUGCUUGUGCGGGUCCCCGUCAAUUCCUUUGAGUUUUAGCCUUGCGGCCGUACUUCCCAGGCGGCAUACUUAUCGCGUUAGCUGCGACGCACAGGGGGUCGAUACCCCAUACGUCUAGUAUGCAUCGUUUACGGCGUGGACUAC